rnacentral:rRNA from 1 species
GGGUUAACGCUGGCGGCGCGCAUAACACAUGCAAGUCGAGCGAGGGCUUAUUUCUCGCAAGAGAGAUAAGUUCCUAGCGGCGAACGGGUGAGUAACACGUGGGCAACCUUUCCUAUCGCGGGGGAUAACACCGGGAAACCGAUGCUAAUACCGCAUGUCGUCACCGGUCGCAUGGCUGGUGAAGAAAGCAGCCAUGCACGAUGGGGUGGGCCCGCGGCCUAUCAGCUAGUCGGUGGGGUAACGGCCUACCGAGGCGAUGACGGGUAGCUGGUCUGAGAGGACGGCCAGCCACACGGAGACUGAGACACGGCCCCGACUCCUACGGGAGGCAGCAGUGAGGAAUCUUCCGCAAUGGGCGAAAGCCUGACGGAGCGACGCCGCGUGUGGGAUGAAGUCUUUCGGGAUGUAAACCACUGUCGGAGGGGAAGACAAAAAAGACGGUACCCUCCAAGAAAGCCCCGGCUAACUACGUGCCAGCAGCCGCGGUAAUACGUAGGGGGCAAGCGUUAUCCAGAUUUACUGGGCGUAAAGCGCGUGUAGGCGGCUGGUUAGGUGUGAUGUGAAAUCUUCCGGCUCAACCGGAAAACUGCAUUGCAAACCGGCCUGGCUAGAGUGCAGGAGAGGGAAGCGGAAUUCCAGGUGUAGCGGUGAAAUGCGUAGAUAUCUGGAGGAAC